AGAGUUUGAUCAUGGCUCAGGAUGAACGCUGGCGGCGUGCCUAACACAUGCAAGUCGAACGGGAACCCUUGGAUUCGUCUGGGGGGGAGAGUGGCAAACGGGUGAGUAAUACGUAGGUGACCUGCCCCAAAGAGGGGAAUAACUGCUGGAAACGGUGGCUAAUACCCCAUGUGCUCGGUAGUUCGUUCUACCGAGUAAAGUUCCGGCGCUUUGGGAGGGGCCUGCGGCCCAUCAGGUAGUUGGUAGGGUAACGGCCUACCAAGCCGAUGACGGGUAGGGGGCGUGAGAGCGUGACCCCCCACACUGGCACUGAGAUACGGGCCAGACUCCUACGGGAGGCAGCAGUGAGGAAUAUUGCCCAAUGGACGCAAGUCUGAGGCAGCAACGCCGCGUGCGCGAUGAAGGCCUUCGGGUCGUAAAGCGCUCUUCUGGGGGAAGAGGAAGGACGGUACCUCAGGAAUAAGUCACGGCUAACUACGUGCCAGCAGCCGCGGUAAUACGUAGGUGGCUAGCGUUAUCCGGAUUUACUGGGCGUAAAGCGCGUGCAGGCGGUUUCGUAAGUCGGACGUGAAAGCUCCUGGCUUAACUGGGAGAGUGCGUUCGAUACUGCGAGGCUUGAGGUCGGGAGAGGGACGUGGAAUUCCCGGUGUAGUGGUGGAAUGCGUAGAUAUCGGGAGGAACACCAGUGGCGAAGGCGGCGUCCUGGCCCGUACCUGACGCUGAGACGCGAAAGCGUGGGUAGCGAACGGGAUUAGAUACCCCGGUAGUCCACGCUGUAAACGGUGGAUACUAGGUGUUGGUGGCUAUCGUCAUCAGUGCCGUAGCUAACGCGUUAAGUAUCCCGCCUGGGGACUACGGCCGCAAGGCUAAAACUCAAAUGAAUUGACGG
rnacentral:rRNA from 2 species